rnacentral:rRNA from 1 species
AGUGAACGCUGGCGGUAGGCCUAACACAUGCAAGUCGAACGGCAGCACAGUAAGAGCUUGCUCUUACGGGUGGCGAGUGGCGGACGGGUGAGGAAUACAUCGGAAUCUACUUUUUCGUGGGGGAUAACGUAGGGAAACUUACGCUAAUACCGCAUACGACCUACGGGUGAAAGCAGGGGAUCUUCGGACCUUGCGCGAUUGAAUGAGCCGAUGUCGGAUUAGCUAGUUGGCGGGGUAAAGGCCCACCAAGGCGACGAUCCGUAGCUGGUCUGAGAGGAUGAUCAGCCACACUGGAACUGAGACACGGUCCAGACUCCUACGGGAGGCAGCAGUGGGGAAUAUUGGACAAUAGGCGGAAGCCUGAUCCAGCCAUACCGCGUGGGUGAAGAAGGCCUUCGGGUUGUAAAGCCCUUUUGUUGGGAAAGAAAAGCAGCAGGUUAAUACCCCGCUGUUCUGACGGUACCCAAAGAAUAAGCACCGGCUAACUUCGUG